rnacentral:rRNA from 1 species
CAGCGCCACAAGUGGUGGCCGUGUAUUUGGCCUAAAGCGUCCGUAGCUGGUUAGAUAAAUUUCCUGGGAAAUCGUUAGGCUUAACCUAACGGCGUGCAGGGAAGACUGUUUGACUUGGGACCGGGAGGAGCUAGAGGUAUUCUGUGGGGAGCGGUAAAAUGCUAUAAUCCACAGAGGACCACCGAUGGCGAAGGCAUCUAGCUAGAACGGAUCCGACAGUGAGGGACGAAAGCCAGGGGAGCAAAACGGAUUAGAGACCCGAGUAGUCC